rnacentral:rRNA from 1 species
AUGCCUCAGAUUGGUAUGAAAUUCAAUUCCACAAAAAAGGCUUGGAACUUUUGGACAUGUUAUGGAGGUCAUAUUGGUUUUGAUGUAAGGAUAAAUUAUGAAAACAAGAGCAAACUCGAUGGAGUAAUCACCUCAGCAAGAUAUGUUUGUUCCAAUGAGGGUUACAGAAGAAAAGACAAAAGGGAUAAUAAUACUAAGCGUCUUCGUGCAGAAACAAGGACCGUCUGCAAUGUUCAAAUGGGAAUUACUAUAGACCGAGAAGCCCGAAAUUAUGAGGUGCAUGAGUUAGUUGUAGAACACAACCAUGUCUUGCAAUUACCUGGGCCCAGCCACUUGAUGCCAUCACAGAGGAAGAUUUCAGCCUUGCAAGCAUUUGAAAUUGAAACAGCAGAUGAUUCAGGAAUUGUACCUAGAAAAGCCCACGAGUUAGCAAGUCGACAAGUUGGUGGUCCACUGAACCUUGGCUACACAUGUCGUGAUCGCAAGAACCACUUGCGAACCAGGCGACAAAGGGACUUGAUGUAUGGUGAAGCUGGAAGUAUGCUCAAGUAUUUUAGAGAUAAAAAGAAUGAGAAUCCUGCAUUUGAGUAUGACAUGCAACUAGAUUGCGAUGAAAAUAUAGCAAAUAUCUUUUGGGCUGAUGCAAGGAUGAUAAUUGACUAUGCUCAUUUCGGUGAUGUUGUUACCUUCGAUACAACAUUUGGGACAAACAAAGAGUACAGACCCUUCGGUGUGUUUGUUGGUUUCAACCAUUUCAGAGAAAUGGUCAUUUUUGGUGCUGCACUGUUAUAUGAUGAGACAUUUGAAUCAUUCAAAUGGUUGUUCAACAUGUUCCUAUCAGUGCAUAACAAAAAGCAACCAAGAACAAUCUUUACUGAUCAAGACGUAGCAAUGGGUAAUGCAAUUCAGACAGUAUUUACCGAAGCAUGGCAUGGAUUGUGCACUUUUCACAUAAUGCAAAAUGCCAUCAGGCACUUACCUCAUAAGAAAAAAGACGAGGAUGGACCAAAUGUACUUGCUGAUUUCAGUGCUUGCAUGUACAAGUAUGAGGAAGAGGAAGCCUUUGAAGACGCUUUCAAUGCCAUAAGAAGCAAUGUGGAAACACAAACUUGGUUGGACAGCAUCUACAAAGUAAAAGAGAAAUGGGCAAGAUGUUACAUGAGGAAUGCUUACACUAUAGGCAUGAGAAGCACACAAUUAAGUGAGAGCUUGAACAGUGACUUGAAAGACCAUCUAAAGUCUGGUCUUGACAUCCUUCGGUUUUUCAAGCACGUAGAGAGGGUUGUGCAAGGAAAAAGAGAUAACGAGGUAAAUGACGAAUAUGAGUCUAGGAAAAAUUUACCUAGAGUCAGAAAGGACUCCUAUGGUAAUACAAGCAAGCAAAGUUUACACACCACACACAUUUGA